CCCUUAGAUGUUCUGGGCUGCACGCGUGCUACAAUGGCGCUUGCAACAAGUCUUGCCAACCCGAUAGGGUGAGCGGAUCUUUGAAGAGGCGUCGUGAUCGGGACAGUUGAUUGCAAUUAUUCGACUCGAACGAGGAAUUCCUUGUAAUCGCGAUUCAUCAUAUCGCGCUGAAUACGUCCCUGCCCUUUGUACACACCGCCCGUCGCUCCUACCGAUUGGAUGGUCCGGUGAAGCCUCGGGAUUGUGGUUCUUGCCGCUUUAUUGUGGCGUGACCGCGAGAACUUGUCUAAACCUUAUCAUCUAGAGGAAGGUGAAGUCGUAACA
rnacentral:rRNA from 1 species